rnacentral:rRNA from 1 species
CUGGCUCAGGACGAACGCUGGCGGCAUGCCUAACACAUGCAAGUCGAACGGAGCAGGAACCUUCGGGUUUCUACUUAGUGGCGAACGGGUGAGUAACGCGUGAGCAACCUGCCUUGGCGAGGGGGAUAACACUUGGAAACAGGUGCUAAUACCGCAUAAGACCACACUUCCGCAUGGGAGAGGGGUCAAAGGAGCAAUCCGCGCUGAGAGGGGCUCGCGUCCCAUUAGGUAGAUGGCGGGAUAACAGCCCACCAUGCCGACGAUGGGUAGCCGAGCUGAGAGGCUGAUCGGCCACACUGGAACUGAGACACGGUCCAGACUCCUACGGGAGGCAGCAGUGGGGAAUAUUGGGCAAUGGGCGAAAGCCCUGACCCAGCAAUGCCGCGUGAGGGAAGAAGGUCUUCGGAUUGUAAACCUCUGUCCUUGGUGACGAAGGAAGUGACGGUAGCCAAGGAGGAAGCCCCGGCUAACUACGUGCCAGCCGCCGC